GCUGCGAUGGCCGAGUGGUUAUAAGGCGUUGGACUCGAAAUCCAAUGGGAUAUUCCCGCGCAGGUUCGAAUCCUGUUCGCAGCG
rfam:Ciona savignyi cont_10663, whole genome shotgun sequence.